UACUCGAGUGGCGAACGGGUGAGUAACACGUAGGUGAUCUGCCCUGCACUUCGGGAUAAGCCUGGGAAACUGGGUCUAAUACCGGAUAGGAGCCAUUUUUAGUGUAAUGGUUGGAAAGUUUUUUCGGUGUAGGAUGAGCUCGCGGCCUAUCAGCUUGUUGGUGGGGUAAUGGCCUACCAAGGCGGCGACGGGUAGCCGGCCUGAGAGGGUGGACGGCCACAUUGGGACUGAGAUACGGCCCAG
rnacentral:rRNA from 1 species